rnacentral:tRNA from 1 species
AGUCCCUUAGCUCAAUCGGGAGAGCAACACUCUUACAAGGUGAAGGUAGUAGGUUCGAAACCUACAGGGACUA